rnacentral:misc_RNA from 1 species
GAAAUGCGAUAAGUAGUGUGAAUUGCAGAAUUUAGCGAAUCAUCGAAUCUUUGAACGCACAUUGCGCCCCUUGGUAUUCCAUGGGGCAUGCCUGUUCGAGCGUCAUUUCAACCCUCAAGCACUGCUUGGUGUUGGGCGUUUGUCCCGCCUACGCGCGUGGACUCGCCUCAAAGUCAUUGGCAGCUGUUCCCCUUCGGCUCGUAAGCGCAGCACAGUCGGCGCCCGGAGCUCUGGUGGGAUGGCGUCCAGCAAGCUGUAUUUUCAGGCUUGACCUCGGAUCAGGUAGGGAUACCCGCUGAACUUAAGC